GGCCUGCUGGCCCAAUGGUAAGGCGCUUGACUACGAAUCAAGAGAUUGCAGGUUUGAGCCCUGCGUAGGUCA
rnacentral:tRNA from 1 species